UACGGGGGGGGCAAGCGUUGUUCGGAAUUACUGGGCGUAAAGGGUUUGUAGGUGGCUUGUUAAGUCAGACGUGAAAUCCCUCAGCUUAACUGGGGAACUGCGUCUGAGACUGGUGAGCUUGAGUGCAGGAGAGGAACGCGGAAUUCCAGGUGUAGCGGUGAAAUGCGUAGAUAUCAGGAAGAACACCCGUGGCGAAGGCGGCUCUCUGGGACGGUACUGACGCUGAGACGCGAAAGCGUGGGGAGCGAACAGG
rnacentral:rRNA from 1 species